rnacentral:rRNA from 1 species
UUUAUGGAGAGUUUGAUCCUGGCUCAGGAUGAACGCUGGCGGCGUGCCUAAUACAUGCAAGUCGAGCGAACGGACGAGAAGCUUGCUUCUCUGAUGUUAGCGGCGGACGGGUGAGUAACACGUGGAUAACCUACCUAUAAGACUGGGAUAACUUCGGGAAACCGGAGCUAAUACCGGAUAAUAUUUUGAACCGCAUGGUUCAAAAGUGAAAGACGGUCUUGCUGUCACUUAUAGAUGGAUCCGCGCUGCAUUAGCUAGUUGGUAAGGUAACGGCUUACCAAGGCAACGAUGCAUAGCCGACCUGAGAGGGUGAUCGGCCACACUGGAACUGAGACACGGUCCAGACUCCUACGGGAGGCAGCAGUAGGGAAUCUUCCGCAAUGGGCGAAAGCCUGACGGAGCAACGCCGCGUGAGUGAUGAAGGUCUUCGGAUCGUAAAACUCUGUUAUUAGGGAAGAACAUAUGUGUAAGUAACUGUGCACAUCUUGACGGUACCUAAUCAGAAAGCCACGGCUAACUACGUGCCAGCAGCCGCGGUAAUACGUAGGUGGCAAGCGUUAUCCGGAAUUAUUGGGCGUAAAGCGCGCGUAGGCGGUUUUUUAAGUCUGAUGUGAAAGCCCACGGCUCAACCGUGGAGGGUCAUUGGAAACUGGAAAACUUGAGUGCAGAAGAGGAAAGUGGAAUUCCAUGUGUAGCGGUGAAAUGCGCAGAGAUAUGGAGGAACACCAGUGGCGAAGGCGACUUUCUGGUCUGUAACUGACGCUGAUGUGCGAAAGCGUGGGGAUCAAACAGGAUUAGAUACCCUGGUAGUCCACGCCGUAAACGAUGAGUGCUAAGUGUUAGGGGGUUUCCGCCCCUUAGUGCUGCAGCUAACGCAUUAAGCACUCCGCCUGGGGAGUACGACCGCAAGGUUGAAACUCAAAGGAAUUGACGGGGACCCGCACAAGCGGUGGAGCAUGUGGUUUAAUUCGAAGCAACGCGAAGAACCUUACCAAAUCUUGACAUCCUUUGACAACUCUAGAGAUAG